rnacentral:rRNA from 1 species
AUUGAACGCUGGCGGCAGGCCUAACACAUGCAAGUCGAGCGGAUGACGGGAGCUUGCUCCUUGAUUCAGCGGCGGACGGGUGAGUAAUGCCUAGGAAUCUGCCUGGUAGUGGGGGACAACGUUUCGAAAGGAACGCUAAUACCGCAUACGUCCUACGGGAGAAAGCAGGGGACCUUCGGGCCUUGCGCUAUCAGAUGAACCUAGGUCGGAUUAGCUAGUUGGUGAGGUAAUGGCUCACCAAGGCGACGAUCCGUAACUGGUCUGAGAGGAUGAUCAGUCACACUGGAACUGAGACACGGUCCAGAGUCCUACGGGAGGGAGCAGUGGGGAAUAUUGGACAAUGGGCGAAAGCCUGAUCCAGCCAUGCCGCGUGUGUGAAGAAGGUCUUCGGAUUGUAAAGCACUUUAAGUUGGGAGGAAGGGCAGUAAGUUAAUACCUUUCUGUUUUGACGUUACCGACAGAAUAAGCACCGGCUAACUCCGUGCCAGCAGCCGCAGUAA